GAUUCCCUAGUACUGCGAGUGAAGCGGGAAAAGCUCAAAUUUGUAAUCUGGCGCAAGCCCGAGUUGUAAUCUAGAGAAGCGUUUUCAGUCGUUGGUCUCGGACAAGUCCCUUGGAACAGGGCGUCAUAGAGGGUGAGAAUCCCGUACUUGCCGAGCUACCAGUGCCUAUGUGAUACGCUCUCGAAGAGUCGAGUUGUUUGGGAAUGCAGCUCAAAAUGGGUGGUAAAUUCCAUCUAAAGCUAAAUAUUGGCGAGAGACCGAUAGCGAACAAGUACCGUGAGGGAAAGAUGAAAAGCACUUUGGAAAGAGAGUUAAACAGUACGUGAAAUUGCUGAAAGGGAAGCGCUUGGAGUCAGUCGCGUCUUCAGGGACUCAGCCUUAACCGGUGCAUUUCCUUGUCGACGGGCCAACAUCGAUUUUGGCCGCGGGAGAAGGACCUGAGGAAUGUGGCAGCCUCGGCUGUGUUAUAGCCUCUUGUCGUAUGCCGCGGCCGGGAUCGAGGACCGCGGCUUUUGCCUAGGAUGUUGGCGUAAUGGCUCUAAGCGACCCGUCUUGAC
rnacentral:rRNA from 1 species